rnacentral:rRNA from 1 species
UUUUGAUUGAAGUUUUCGGAUGGAUUUCAAGAUACCGAGUGGCGGACGGGUGAGUAACGCGUGGGUAACCUGCCUCAUACAGGGGGAUAACGGUUAGAAAUGACUGCUAAUACCGCAUAAGCGCACAGUACCGCAUGGUACGGUGUGAAAAACUCCGGUGGUAUGAGAUGGACCCGCGUCUGAUUAGCUAGUUGGUGAGGUAACGGCCCACCAAGGCGACGAUCAGUAGCCGACCUGAGAGGGUGACCGGCCACAUUGGGACUGAGACACGGCCCAGACUCCUACGGGAGGCAGCAGUGGGGGAUAUUGCACAAUGGAGGAAACUCUGGUGCAGCGACGCCGCGUGAGUGAAGAAGUAUUUCGGUAUGUAAAGCUCUAUCAGCAGGGAAGAAAAUGACGGUACCUGACUAAGAAGCCCCGGCUAACUACGUGCCAGCAGCCGCGGUAAUACGUAGGGGGCAAGCGUUAUCCGGAUUUACUGGGUGUAAAGGGAGCGUAGACGGCGACGCAAGUCUGAAGUGAAAUACCCGGGCUCAACCUGGGAACUGCUUUGGAAACUGUGUUGCUAGAGUGCUGGAGAGGUAAGCGGAAUUCCUAGUGUAGCGGUGAAAUGCGUAGAUAUUAGGAAG